AUUCGCCAGGGUGCGGGAAAUCCGCGUGCUCGGCGAGAGGGAAGUUUGUAGAGUGAUUUACAUAGUUAUCCCAG
rnacentral:autocatalytically_spliced_intron from 2 species